rnacentral:snoRNA from 1 species
AAGCAGGAUUUAGACUACAAUAUAGCUGUUCAGUGCUGUCUUGUCAUUUUAUCCCUGUCUGCUGAACUCUUGUAGCAGCCAGACAGGCUUGGUCUCAUGCAC